rnacentral:rRNA from 1 species
UUCGGAUUGCAGGCUGGAACUCGCCUGCAUGAAGUUGGAUUCGCUAGUAAUCGCGCAUCAGCCAUGGCGCGGUGAAUACGUUCCCGGGCCUUGUACACACCGCCCGUCAAGCCAUGAAAGUCGGGGGUGCUUGAAGUACGCUUACCGUAAGGGGCGUCCUAAGGCAAAACCGAUAAUUGGGGCUAAGUCGUAACAAGGUAUC